UACGGAGGGUGCAAGCGUUAUCCGGAUUCACUGGGUUUAAAGGGAGCGUAGGUGGGCUGGUAAGUCAGUGGUGAAAUCUCCGGGCUUAACUCGGAAACUGCCGUUGAUACUAUCAGUCUUGAAUGUUGUGGAGGUAAGCGGAAUAUGUCAUGUAGCGGUGAAAUGCUUAGAUAAUGACAUAGAACACCGAUAGCGAAGGCAGCUUGACU
rnacentral:rRNA from 1 species